rnacentral:sRNA from 12 species
UAGGGUGAUAGCAGAGCUGGGACUGCUAAAGUGAAGCGGCGAACCAAGCAGUAGUCAUGGCUUUGGCUACGGAAUUCAUAAGAAGCGGGCAAGCUAUACCAGCUUGUUCGGGCAUCGGAACCCACCAGUUCAUAGACGAUGCUAUGGAUUUCUGCAAUUUGUUUUAGGUGAAAAAAACCCAGGUCUAACACCGCAGCGAAGCCACGCUCGCGGUGUUUU